rnacentral:lncRNA from 1 species
AUAUAUUUAAAAUAAAUAGGUAAACCCGAAACAAUUGUUGGCUUUGUUUAAAGCCCUCCAUUCAUUAUUUUGACGGAUUAUUAACUUGAAAGCUUCAAAAGCUUGUUUAUUCGAGGUGAUUUCUCCAAAACUCCUGAAAAGGUAUUUUCCCUGAACUCGAAUAAUCCUAAACUGGCCUAUCACAUGCCGGACGCUGUAACAUCAUCAAAACUGAGUGGGACAAGGUAAAUAGAAAACUCUUUACCCUUUUUAAGCAAUGAAGCAGGAGUAUCCCUGGAGUCCGAUGCAUUGUCAAGAACAUAAGAUCUAGCAAUCCCAAGAAAGAUACAGUCUGAGGAUUAUGGGGAGAACCUACAAAGGUGAGAAAAUUUUAAUGAUUAAAAUUUUAAUGAUCAAGAACAUAAGAUCUAGCAAUCCCAGCAAUACUCUGCUGAGCAAGAAAUAAAAAGAUGUGACAAAAACUCACUGAAAACAGCUUCAUAAUAUAUUAUAUUUAUCUGAGUGUGUUCUGUAUUAUAUAUUUAAAAUAAAUAGGUAAACCCGAAAAAACUGUUGGCUUUGUUUAAAGCCCUCCAUUCAUUUGUUUAACGGAUUAUUGACUUGAAAGCUUCAAAAGCUUGGUUAUUCGAGGUGAUUUCUCCAAAACUCCUGAAAAGGUCUUUUCCUGAACUAGAAUAAUCCUAAACUGGCCUAUCACAUACCGGACGCUGUAAUAUCAUCAAAACUGAGUGGGACAAGGUAAAUAGAAAACUCUUUACCCUUUUGAGGCAAUGAAACAGGAGUAUCCCUGGAGUCCAAUGCAUUAUCAAGAACAUAAGGAAGAUCUAGCAAUUCCAAGAAAGAUACAGUCUGAGGAUUAUGGGGAGAAACUGCACAAGGUGAGAAAAUUUUAAUAAUUAAAAAGGAAAUCGAGCAAAAUCAAAUUGCAAAACUCAGGACUAUUCUAGUAGCAAAUCUAAAUAAAAAAGAAUGCAGUGUUUUGUAACGACUGUGACAGUAAGUGGCAUAAAUAUGCAAACAUAUAUGGUGAGUUUCUUAAAUCCAAAAGAUAGAACCAUUAAUGGAGAUACUUUUUGCACCUCAAAGAAGGAAAAGCAUCAAAAUAUCACCAUAUUAUUUACCAGAAAAAGUAGCGUUUGAAACUGAAUCAGAGGGUUUGUGAGGUGGAGCUGUUUGAGAAAAUUCACAAGGUUUGGCUUUUCUGUCCCAUUGACGACAAUCUUGCAUGUCGAGCUGUGUUCUCCUACAUAUUAGAAUAGCAGUUGUCGGCUCACUAGUUCUUGUAGAAUA